UAGUUUGAUCAUGGCUCAGAUUGAACGCUGGCGGCAGGCCUAACACAUGCAAGUCGAGCGGUAACAGAAAGUAUCUUGCUACUUUGCUGACCAGCGGCGGACGGGUGAGUAAUGCUUGGGAAUAUGCCUUAUGGUGGGGGACAACAGUUGGAAACGACUGCUAAUACCGCAUGAUGUCUACGGACCAAAGUGGGGGACCUUCGGGCCUCACGCCAUAAGAUUAGCCCAAGUGGGAUUAGCUAGUUGGUGAGGUAAUGGCUCACCAAGGCGACGAUCCCUAGCUGGUUUGAGAGGAUGAUCAGCCACACUGGGACUGAGACACGGCCCAGACUCCUACGGGAGGCAGCAGUGGGGAAUAUUGCACAAUGGGCGCAAGCCUGAUGCAGCCAUGCUGCGUGUGUGAAGAAGGCCUUCGGGUUGUAAAGCACUUUCAGUAAGGAAGAAAGGUUAAGUGUUAAUAGCACUUAUCUGUGACGUUACUUACAGAAGAGGCACCGGCUAACUCCGUGCCAGCAGCCGCGGUAAUACGGAGGGUGCGAGCGUUAAUCGGAAUCACUGGGCGUAAAGCGUACGCAGGCGGUUUGUUAAGCGAGAUGUGAAAGCCCCGGGCUCAACCUGGGAACUGCAUUUCGAACUGGCAAACUAGAGUGUGAUAGAGGGUGGUAGAAUUUCAUGUGUAGCGGUGAAAUGCGUAGAGAUCUGAAGGAAUACCGAUGGCGAACGCAGCCACCUGGGUCAACACUGACGCUCAUGUACGAAAGCGUGGGGAGCAACAGGAUUAGAUACCCUGGUAGUCCACGCCGUAAACGAUGUCUACUAGAAGCUGGGGUCCUCAGUACAACUUUUUCCAAGCUAACGCAAUGAGUAUACCGUCUGGGGAGUACGGCCGCUACGUUAAUACCUCGACUGAAUUGACUGGGGUCCUCAGCAUGCGUGGAGCAUGUGGUCUCACUCGAUGCACGUCGAACAGCUUUACCUACACUCGACGUCAGACGAAUCACUAGACAUGGCAUUUAUGCGCUCGGGACUGCCAGAAGGCUAAAUGCCUGUUUGCAGCCUGUGUUGCGUGAGAUCUUCGCCUCCGUCCGGCAAACUAGCGACAAUCGCUAGUCCUUAGUCUGCCAGUUGCGGAUAGCCGGGAACUUAUAAUCUUGCGGGUUAUACUCACCUGGAGGAAACGCUGCGUCGGUGAAGCAAACCUCUUUC
rnacentral:rRNA from 1 species